rnacentral:rRNA from 1 species
ACGGAAGGCAGCAGUGGGGAAUAUUGCACAAUGGGGGAAACCCUGAUGCAGCGACGCCGCGUGAGUGAAGAAGUAUUUCGGUAUGUAAAGCUCUAUCAGCAGGGACGAAAAUGACGGUACCUGACUAAGAAGCCCCGGCUAACUACGUGCCAGCAGCCGCGGUAAUACGUAGGGGGCAAGCGUUAUCCGGAUUUACUGGGUGUAAAGGGAGCGUAGACGGUCCGGCAAGUCUGAUGUGAAAUCCCAGGGCUCAACCCUGGGACUGCAUUGGAAACUGUUGGACUAGAGUGCAGGAGAGGUAAGUGGAAUUCCUAGUGUAGCGGUGAAAUGCGUAGAUAUUAGGAGGAACACCAGUGGCGAAGGCGGCUUACUGGACUGUAACUGACGUUGAGGCUCGAAAGCGUGGGGAGCAAACAGGAUUAGAUACCCUGGUA